AUCUAUUAUCCACUCGACACGGGGAAAAGUAGAGUACGAAAAUAAAUGCACCGACGUGCUUGCUCCGGUUUCUUUCAUGGGAGGAGAGAAGUUUAUCAUUUUGAUGGGUGGUUCGUCGAAGAAUCUAAGUUAACCGAUGCGGGAAAGGGAAACGCGGCAAACGUUGGAGACUUUUGCGGCGUUGCGGUUCGCACGUGACUGUACCAGAAAUAGUUUUUCGCCGUUGGAAUCUUAACGGAUCGACGCCGCGCAGAUUUCCGUAUUCCUUUUUCACUCUGUUCCCCCUUUUCCUUUGUUUCUUUUUGUUUUGUACGCACAGGUCUUUGUACAAAGAAAAAUUCACAAGGCAGGGGGUUGAUCUCGCAGUUGCAUAAUUCGACGAUGAGAACUCUAUAUCGAAAUAGGGAACUUCGCAAUGCUGCAUUUAACAUAAUAAAAUGUUCGCAGAAUAGUUUCAUCUGUACGAAUGCUGCAUCGGAAUAUUAAAUUGGGAUCAUGCUCGUACGCGAAAUACCAGACAGAUCAAGCAGAACGAAACGAAAUUUCAUAUAUGGCGAAGUUUAAGCAAAAAGUUGCGAUGGAAGCUAUUAAACACGGAUGCACGGAAUAGGUGGUGUAUUACGUGUACGCAAUUCUUGCGCACGAGGAUACCGUUACAAAGAUAAACGUCGGUUUAAUGGAAUAUUUGCCCCUGCGUCUGUCAUAAAGAAACUAUGCAUUCUUUCAAGUA